UACGUAGGGUGCGAGCGUUGUCCGGAAUUAUUGGGCGUAAAGAGCUCGUAGGCGGUGUGUCACGUCGUUCGUGAAAACCUGCAGCUUAACUGUGGGCGUGCGGUCGAUACGGGCAUCACUGGAGUUCGGCAGGGGAGACUGGAAUUCCUGGUGUAGCGGUGGAAUGCGUAGAGAUCCGGAGGAAGACCGGUGGCGAAGGCGGUCUGCUGGGCAGUUUCUGACACUGAUGCGCGACAGCGUGGGGAGCAAACAGG
rnacentral:rRNA from 1 species